rnacentral:lncRNA from 10 species
GAUGACAGGGCAAGACUCCAUCUCAAAAAAAAGAAAAAAAAAAAAAAAAAAAAAAAAAGACUAAACUGUGAUUUGAGGCACCUGAGGAACUAAGAGCCCAGGAAGAAAGGACAGUAAUGAAAAAGCCAACAAAUGAGACCAGUAUUUAGUGAUUCUACUCUAAAAGUCACCAGGAAAAAUUCAGCUCCACUGGUCCUGGCUCUAAGUCUACUAGCAAAAUCUUCCAGAGAAGUGGAAAAGCCAUCAGCCAAUGUGUUAGACUAUCAUUUCCAUGACCUUACACCUAUCAAAAAGGCACUAUUACCAGGCUUAUAGAAUUCUAAAAAAGUUGGAAACCAUUUUCCAUUAUAAAAGAAAUUCUUCCAAAUCACACAAAACACUCUGACACUUCUC